UUCGUAUUUGUAACUGAUACGAAGCAUAAAUUAAUUGUACGGAGGCAUCGAACAUUGCUGAACAGAGACUGGAUCAACACUGGACACAGAACUAGCAAGAUCUCAGCUGUAGCGAGAAAUAGAAGAAGAGGAUAACUAAGUCGUCGGACGUCGAAUGCGCUUUUGACACACAUUGGUGGGCUAUCCUGGCCAUCGACCCCGCCAAUUUCGAUGAACGACCAGCUUAAUGACCUGUCCGGUAACGAGAUAGCGUUUCAAGGGCGAGAGACAGUUCUACAGGACCA